rnacentral:rRNA from 1 species
CCCCCUACGGGGCGCAGCAGUGGGGAAUAUUGGACAAUGGGGGGAACCCUGAUCCAGCGACGCCGCGUGAGUGAAGAAGUAUUUCGGUAUGUAAAGCUCUAUCAGCAGGGAAGAAAGAAAUGACGGUACCUGACUAAGAAGCCCCGGCUAACUACAUGCCAGCAGCCGCGGUAAUACGUAGGGGGCAAGCGUUAUCCGGAUUUACUGGGUGUAAAGGGAGCGUAGACGGUUACGCAAGUCUGGAGUGAGAGGCGGGGGGCCAACCCCCCGGC